rnacentral:rRNA from 1 species
AGAACGAACGCUGGCGGCAUGCCUAACACAUGCAAGUCGAACGAGACCUUCGGGUCUAGUGGCGCACGGGUGCGUAACGCGUGGGAAUCUGCCCUUGGGUUCGGAAUAACAGCGAGAAAUUGCUGCUAAUACCGGAUGAUGACGUAAGUCCAAAGAUUUAUCGACCCAAGGAUGAGCCCGCGUAGGAUUAGCUUGUGGUGAGGUAAGAGCUCACCAAGGCGACGAUCCGUUAGCUGGUACUGAGAGGAUGAUCGAGCCACACUGGGACUGAGACACGGCCCAGACUCCUACGGGAGGCAGGCAGGUGGGGAAUAGUUGGGACAAGUGGGGACGAAAGGCCUAGAGUCCAGGCAAUCGCCGCGUCGAGUGAUGAAGGCCGUUAGGGUUGUAAAG